rnacentral:rRNA from 1 species
GGGACACGUGGUAUCCUGUCUGAAUAUGGGGGGACCAUCCUCCAAGGCUAAAUACUCCUGACUGACCGAUAGUGAACCAGUACCGUGAGGGAAAGGCGAAAAGAACCCCGGCGAGGGGAGUGAAAAAGAACCUGAAACCGUGUACGUACAAGCAGUGGGAGCCUCUUAAUGGGGUGACUGCGUACCUUUUGUAUAAUGGGUCAGCGACUUAUAUUCUGUAGCAAGGUUAACCGAAUAGGGGAGCCGAAGGGAAACCGAGUCUUAACUGGGCGUUAAGUUGCAGGGUAUAGACCCGAAACCCGGUGAUCUAGCCAUGGGCAGGUUGAAGGUUGGGUAACACUAACUGGAGGACCGAACCGACUAAUGUUGAAAAAUUAGCGGAUGACUUGUGGCUGGGGGUGAAAGGCCAAUCAAACCGGGAGAUAGCUGGUUCUCCCCGAAAGCUAUUUAGGUAGCGCCUCGUGAAUUCAUCUCCGGGGGUAGAGCACUGUUUCGGCAAGGGGGUCAUCCCGACUUACCAACCCGAUGCAAACUGCGAAUACCGGAGAAUGUUAUCACGGGAGACACACGGCGGGUGCUAACGUCCGUCGUGAAGAGGGAAACAACCCAGACCGCCAGCUAAGGUCCCAAAGUCAUGGUUAAGUGGGAAACGAUGUGGGAAGGCCCAGACAGCCAGGAUGUUGGCUUAGAAGCAGCCAUCAUUUAAAGAAAGCGUAAUAGCUCACUGGUCGAGUCGGCCUGCGCGGAAGAUGUAACGGGGCUAAACCAUGCACCGAAGCUGCGGCAGCGACACUAUGUGUUGUUGGGUAGGGGAGCGUUCUGUAAGCCUGUGAAGGUGGCCUGUGAGGGUUGCUGGAGGUAUCAGAAGUGCGAAUGCUGACAUAAGUAACGAUAAAGCGGGUGAAAAGCCCGCUCGCCGGAAGACCAAGGGUUCCUGUCCAACGUUAAUCGGGGCAGGGUGAGUCGACCCCUAAGGCGAGGCCGAAAGGCGUAGUCGAUGGGAAACAGGUUAAUAUUCCUGUACUUGGUGUUACUGCGAAGGGGGGACGGAGAAGGCUAUGUUGGCCGGGCGACGGUUGUCCCGGUUUAAGCGUGUAGGCUGGUUUUCCAGGCAAAUCCGGAAAACCAAGGCUGAGGCGUGAUGACGAGGCACUACGGUGCUGAAGCGACAAAUGCCCUGCUUCCAGGAAAAGCCUCUAAGCAUCAGGUAACAUCAAAUCGUACCCCAAACCGACACAGGUGGUCAGGUAGAGAAUACCAAGGCGCUUGAGAGAACUCGGGUGAAGGAACUAGGCAAAAUGGUGCCGUAACUUCGGGAGAAGGCACGCUGAUAUGUAGGUGAAGCGACUUGCUCGUGGAGCUGAAAUCAGUCGAAGAUACCAGCUGGCUGCAACUGUUUAUUAAAAACACAGCACUGUGCAAACACGAAAGUGGACGUAUACGGUGUGACGCCUGCCCGGUGCCGGAAGGUUAAUUGAUGGGGUUAGCGGUAACGCGAAGCUCUUGAUCGAAGCCCCGGUAAACGGCGGCCGUAACUAUAACGGUCCUAAGGUAGCGAAAUUCCUUGUCGGGUAAGUUCCGACCUGCACGAAUGGCGUAAUGAUGGCCAGGCUGUCUCCACCCGAGACUCAGUGAAAUUGAACUCGCUGUGAAGAUGCAGUGUACCCGCGGCAAGACGGAAAGACCCCGUGAACCUUUACUAUAGCUUGACACUGAACAUUGAGCCUUGAUGUGUAGGAUAGGUGGGAGGCUUUGAAGUGUGGACGCCAGUCUGCAUGGAGCCGACCUUGAAAUACCACCCUUUAAUGUUUGAUGUUCUAACGUUGGCCCGUAAUCCGGGUUGCGGACAGUGUCUGGUGGGUAGUUUGACUGGGGCGGUCUCCUCCUAAAGAGUAACGGAGGAGCACGAAGGUUGGCUAAUCCUGGUCGGACAUCAGGAGGUUAGUGCAAUGGCAUAAGCCAGCUUGACUGCGAGCGUGACGGCGCGAGCAGGUGCGAAAGCAGGUCAUAGUGAUCCGGUGGUUCUGAAUGGAAGGGCCAUCGCUCAACGGAUAAAAGGUACUCCGGGGAUAACAGGCUGAUACCGCCCAAGAGUUCAUAUCGACGGCGGUGUUUGGCACCUCGAUGUCGGCUCAUCACAUCCUGGGGCUGAAGUAGGUCCCAAGGGUAUGGCUGUUCGCCAUUUAAAGUGGUACGCGAGCUGGGUUUAGAACGUCGUGAGACAGUUCGGUCCCUAUCUGCCGUGGGCGCUGGAGAACUGAGGGGGGCUGCUCCUAGUACGAGAGGACCGGAGUGGACGCAUCACUGGUGUUCGGGUUGUCAUGCCAAUGGCACUGCCCGGUAGCUAAAUGCGGAAGAGAUAAGUGCUGAAAGCAUCUAAGCACGAAACUUGCCCCGAGAUGAGUUCUCCCUGAGACUUAGAGUCUCCUGAAGGAACGUUGAAGACGACGACGUUGAUAGGCCGGGUGUGUAAGCGCAGCGAUGCGUUGAGCUAACCGGUACUAAUGAACCGUGAGGCUUAACCUU